rnacentral:rRNA from 1 species
GAAGGUGGCUAGCGUUGUUCGGUAUUACUGGGCUUAAAGCGUGUGUAGGCGGAAAGGUAAGCGCCUUGUGAAAGCCCCCCGGCUUAACCGGGGAAUUGCUUGGCGAACUGCUUUUCUUGAGGCAAGUAGGGGUGCAUGGAACUCUUGGUGGAGCGGUGGAAUGCGUAGAUAUCAAGAGGAACGCCAGUGGUGAAAACGGUGCACUGGGCUUGUUCUGACGCUGAGACACGAAAGCGUGGGGAGCGAACGGGAUUAGAUACCCCGGGUAGUCCACGCCGUAAACGAUGUCUACUAGGUAGUGGUGUCUCUGACGCCAGCACUGCCGAAGCAAAAGUGUUAAGUAGACCGCCUGGGGGAGUACGGUCGCAAGGCUA